rnacentral:rRNA from 1 species
GACGAACGCUGGCGGCGUGCUUAACACAUGCAAGUCGAACGGAAAGGCCUCUUUCGGGGGGUACUCGAGUGGCGAACGGGUGAGUAACACGUGAGUAACCUGCCCUUGACUUUGGGAUAACUUCAGGAAACUGGGGCUAAUACCGGAUAGGAGCUCCUGCUUCAUGGUGGGGGUUGGACAGUUUCGGCGGUUGGGGAUGGACUCGCGGCUUAUCAGCUUGUUGGGGGGGUAGUGGCUUACCAAGGCUUUGACGGGUAGCCGGGCUGGGAGGGUGACCGGCCACAUUGGGACUGAGAGACGGCCCAGACUCCUACGGGAGGCAGCAGUGGGGAAUAUUGCACAAUGGGUGGAAGCCUGAUGCAGCAACGCCGUGUGCGGGAUGACGGCCUUCGGGUUGUAAACCGCUUUCGCUCAUGACGAAGCUUUGUGUGACGGUAGUGGGUAAAGAAGCACCGGCUAACUACGUG